CUGGAGGUGGCGUUUCUGAGGUCCGCCAAAUUGCUUUACGACAAACUUGGCACACCUGAGAAACGCCUGCUCCA
rfam:Ascaris suum AG00714, whole genome shotgun sequence.